UACGUAGGGACCAAGCGUUGUUCGGAUUUACUGGGCGUAAAGGGCUCGUAGGCGGCCAACUAAGUCAGACGUGAAAUCCCUCGGCUUAACCGGGGAACUGCAUCUGAUACUGGAUGGCUUGAGUUCGGGAGAGGGAUGCGGAAUUCCAGGUGUAGCGGUGAAAUGCGUAGAUAUCUGGAGGAACACCGGUGGCGAAGGCGGCAUCCUGGACCGACGACUGACGCUGAGGAGCGAAAGCCAGGGGAGCCAAAGCGGGG
rnacentral:rRNA from 1 species